GAUCAACUUUGACGCAGUGGUCGGUUCAGGACAGCCGGGACUGAUCGCGAUAGAUGACGUCGUCUUCAUCAACGGACCGUGUGACAGUGACGGUUGUAACGUACCACUCGGCAUGGAGAGUAGAUGGAUAACAGACGACCAGAUCACCGCGACACCCAGCGGCCAGGACUACCCACCACGCAAUGCUCGUCUCCAUGGUAACGGCUGUUGGAUACCGUCCACUCCCCACAGCUCCUGGCUACAAGUGGAGUUCCCCAAUACUAUGAUCUUAACUGGCAUCAGAACCCAAGGCUUUAGAACCGGGUGGAUAACCAAGUACAAGGUCGAGUACUCCGAAACGCUAUCUUCAACAUGGAUCACAUGCAAUGCGUUUAUAACAACUG